AAUUGCUUCAAGGUCUGUCUGGAGGGGCUGCGCGCGUCCCUCUGGUUUCUCCGGAUCUGCGCUGACCUCUUCCGCCUGGUGCCGUUCCUUGUGUUCGUGGUGGUGCCGUUCAUGGAGUUUCUGCUGCCUGUUGCUGUGAAGCUCUUCCCCAACAUGUUGCCAUCCACAUUUGAGACUCAGUCACUCAAGGAGGAGAGGCUGAAGAAGGAGCUUCGGGUCAAGCUGGAGCUGGCCAAGUUCCUCCAGGACACCAUCGAGGAGAUGGCCUUGAAGAACAAGGCAGCCAAGGGCAGCGCCACCAAAGACUUCUCUGUGUUUUUCCAGAAGGUGCUGUGAUACGUCUGAGUCCCUGUGACCUCACAAGGGAGCCUUCCCUGAUUUUCUGUUUCCCUUUCGCUGUGCUCAGCAGAGUGGAGCUCCUCCAGGUGCUGGCUGGCGCUUGAAAGUUUACCCAGGAGGCUCAGUCGGGGGCCAGUGGAGUGUUAGGAGUCUGCCCUCACGAGCUCCCAGUGAGUUGAGCUGUGGUGGCUGCACCUCGUCAGCCUUCAGAAUUAUGGGCGUCUGUGUCUCAUCACCCUGCAGCUGUCCAGGAGCAGUAGAAUCUGACCCAUGAGGAGCCUGAGACCCUGAUGGUGUGAGGUGUGGGUGGCUUGGCCGGGCUCCUCUGCUGGGCAUUGCCCUCUGGCUGGAGUCAGUCAAGAAGGUCCCAGGUCCCAGGGGCUGGUCAGAGGCCUGGACUGUGGGAGCAGUGGGGGCUGGAGAGGAGGAGCGGCCCUUGAGGUUUCCUGCGGGCAUGUGGUGAGUGAGGUGAGGAUGGGGAGAGGGCAGCUGCCACGGACGAGAUCCCUGAGGACUAGAUGGGGUUCACGAGGCCAGUGUUGUUGGCUUGAGGGACUUGUGCCACUUUGGAGUGAGAAGGAUGUGUCUGAAGUGCAGGAAGAGCUUAAACCAGGGGCGAGAAACUC
rnacentral:sRNA from 1 species